rnacentral:rRNA from 1 species
CCAGUGAUUGAAGUUUUUACUUAAUAGUAAUAUUUCAAAUUAAACGGCCGCUGUAUAAUUGACGGUGUUAAUGUAGGAAAAUAAUUAGUUAUUUUAUUGAUGAACGUAGAUGAAUGGUUUAACGAGGGUUUCGCUGUCUUAAUUAGAAAUUUUUAAAAUUAAACUAAUAGUCAAGAUGCUAUUUACAAUUGUAAGACGAGAAGACCCUAUAAAGCUUGACUAUAAGAUUAAAAUUUGAAUUAUAUUAUACAAUAUAAUUUUAUCAUUUCUUUCUGGUAGUUUGGUUGGGGCAACAACAUUUUAAAUAUAACGAAUGUAUUUAAUAAUAUAUUAAAUUAUUAUUGUUUAAUUCAUAAAUUUAACAAUUACAAAGUAGAAAAAAUGACCUAUCAAUUAAUUAAGAUUUUAUUGAUAAUAAAUAAAUAAAAGUUACUUUAGGGAUAACAGGUUAAUUUUAUUUAAGAGAUGCUAUUUAAAAUGAAGUUUGACACCUCGAUGUUGAAUUAAGUUAUCCCAGUAAUGCAGCAGUUACUAAAGGUUGGUCUGUUCGACCAUUAAAAACUUACAUGAUUUGAGUUCAUU